rnacentral:tRNA from 1 species
GUCGUGGUGGCCGAGUGGUUAAGGCGUUUGACUCGAAAUCAAAUAGGCUCUGCACGCACAGGUUCGAAUCCUGUCCACGACG